UACAGAGACCUCAAGCGUUAUCCGGAAUCAUUGGGCGUAAAGCGUACCGAUCGGUGGUUUUACAAGUCAGAGGUGACAUUCCAAGGCUCAACCUUGGGACUGUCCUUUGGAACUGUAAAACUAGAGGGACAAAGAGGAAGCUAGAACUAACGGUGUAGGGGUAAUAUCCGUUGAUAUCGUUAGGAAUACCGAUAGCGAAGGCAGGCUUCUGGGUGUCACCUGACACUGCUAGGACGAAAGCGUGGGGAGCAAAAAGG
rnacentral:rRNA from 1 species